rnacentral:rRNA from 1 species
GAUGAACGCUGGCGGCGUGCUUAACACAUGCAAGUCGAACGGAGAGAAAGUGCUUGCACUUUCUCUUAGUGGCGGACGGGUGAGUAACGCGUGGGUAACCUGCCCUAUGCAGGGGGAUAACAACGAGAAAUCGUUGCUAAUACCGCAUAACCUACCAAGGUCGCAUGAUCUUAGUAGCAAAGAUUUAUCAGCAUAGGAUGGACCCGCGUUGGAUUAGCUAGUUGGUGAGAUAACAGCUCACCAAGGCGACGAUCCAUAGCCGGCCUGAGAGGGUGAACGGCCACACUGGGACUGAGACACGGCCCAGACUCCUACGGGAGGCAGCAGUGGGGAAUUUUGGACAAUGGGCGCAAGCCUGAUCCAGCAAUGCCGCGUGCAGGAAGAAGGCCUUCGGGUUGUAAACUGCUUUUGUACGGAACGAAAAGGCUCUGGUUAAUACCUGGGGCUCAUGACGGUACCGUAAGAAUAAGCACCGGCUAACUACGUGCCAGCAGCCGCAGUAAUAC